rnacentral:lncRNA from 1 species
CUUUUGUGUGUUUUUGAACCAGUUUGGUAAUGAAAGACAAAUUUUUUUUAAAAAAAAAGGAAAAGAAAAAACCAGCUUGUGCCUUUCAAUAGAGAUAACUGUUAUCUCUUAUAAAAGUCUACAUAAGUGUAAGUAAUUGCCUGCACUUGGCCCUGGUACAGUGGAAAAGCUGUGAUCAGCAAACCCGCAUUGUACUGGGAAUGUAAAGGGAAGUUAUUGGAUGAUACGGGACGUGUUGGCCUUAAUGCCUGUCCUGCAUCUCCUGUCUUGUUUACUUUCUUUGCAAGUCUUUUCAAGGCUUAAUAACAGCGUUUAGGGAAUGGGCGGGGGAUACCGCGCUGACUUCGAGCGACGAAAGUUUUCUUGGAAUCGCGCUUAAAAACAAAAAGAAAAUAAAGAGAAGUCCGGCCGUGCUGCGGCGUCAGUCCGGCAGCCUUUGUCUAGCGCCGAGCUCUCUGGGUGCGUGUCGCGGACGAGCAUCACCGGGCACGGGGCGGGCUCCGGCGGCUGUGCCCGCCGCGCAGGGAGGGGACGGAGCGGGGCUUCCCCCGCCCGCAGCGGGGCCGGCCGGGGCUGCUCAGCGUGCCCGUGUCCGUGGCGGGGCUGCUCAGCGUGCCCGUGUCCGUGGCGGGGCUGCUCAGCGUGGCCGUGUCCGUGCCGGGGCUGCGGGUCACGUUUGCAGUCGCAUGAAGCGCUGCGCCGCGCAGCCGCCUCUCGCGUGUGUCCGCGUCCGUGUGCCAGCGCUGGCUCCCUUAUCGCAGGAAGUGUUGCGGAAAGCAGUUGCUCCCUCUCUCUCUCUGCCCGGUUCCCAGAAUGCGGUGAUUAACCACUCUUCCCCCCGCGCUGUCACUGAAGUGCUGGGCAGAAAACAGCAGUCACGGUUGUGCCGCUCCAGCUUCAGGACAAUCCUCUCUCCCUUCCUUUCUACCUCACUCUCUCUCUCUCUCUCUCUCCAUUCCCCACGCCCCUUCCCCAAUAAACUUAGAAAGGGCCAUUAGAAUGGAUAUAGUCUGUUUUUGUCCUUCCUUCUGAACACUUCCAUAUACGCAUAUAUACAUGAAACGUGUUUUAUGUAUAUAUAUAUAUAUGUGUGUGUGUAUAUAAA